rnacentral:rRNA from 1 species
CCCUGGUGGCGAGUGGCGAACGGGUGAGUAAUGCAUCGGAACGUGCCCAGUAGUGGGGGAUAACCAGUCGAAAGAUUGGCUAAUACCGCAUACGACCUUCGGGUGAAAGCGGGAGACCGCAAGGCCUCGCGCUAUUGGAGCGGCCGAUGUCUGAUUAGCUAGUUGGUGAGGUAAAGGCUCACCAAGGCGACGAUCAGUAGCUGGUCUGAGAGGACGGCCAGCCACACUGGGACUGAGACACGGCCCAGACUCCUACGGGAGGCAGCAGUGGGGAAUUUUGGACAAUGGGCGCAAGCCUGAUCCAGCCAUGCCGCGUGCGGGAAGAAGGCCUUCGGGUUGUAAACCGCUUUUGGCAGGAACGAAACGGCGCCCCCUAAUACGGGGCGCUAAUGACGGUACCUGCAGAAUAAGCACCGGCUAACUACGUGCCAGCAGCCGCGGUAAUACGUAGGGUGCAAGCGUUAAUCGGAAUUACUGGGCGUAAAGCGUACGCAGGCGGCUAUGCAAGACAGGUGUGAAAUCCCCGGGCUUAACCUGGGAACUGCAUUUGUGACUGCAUGGCUAGAGUUUGUCAGAGGGGGGUGGAAUUCCACGUGUAGCAGUGAAAUGCGUAGAGAUGUGGAGGAACACCGAUGGCGAAGGCAGCCCCCUGGGAUGUGACUGACGCUCAUGUACGAAAGCGUGGGGAGCAAACAGGAUUAGAUA